GCAUCGGUGGUUCAGUGGCGAAAAUGCUCGCCUGCCACGCGGGUUCGAUUCUCCUCCGAUGCA
rnacentral:tRNA from 1 species